AAUCUACCUUUUACAGAGGGAUAGCCCAGAGAAAUUUGGAUUAAUACCUCAUAGUAUAGCUCUACCGCAUGGUAGUACUAUUAAAGUCACAACGGUAAAAGAUGAGCAUGCGUCCCAUUAGCUAGUUGGUAAGGUAACGGCUUACCAAGGCUACGAUGGGUAGGGGUCCUGAGAGGGAGAUCCCCCACACUGGUACUGAGACACGGACCAGACUCCUACGGGAGGCAGCAGUGAGGAAUAUUGGACAAUGGGCGCAAGCCUGAUCCAGCCAUGCCGCGUGCAGGAUGACGGUCCUAUGGAUUGUAAACUGCUUUUAUACGAGAAGAAACACUACUUCGUGAAGUAGCUUGACGGUAUCGUAAGAAUAAGGAUCGGCUAACUCCGUGCCAGCAGCCGCGGUAAUACGGAGGAUCCAAGCGUUAUCCGGAAUCAUUGGGUUUAAAGGGUCCGUAGGCGGUUUAAUAAGUCAGUGGUGAAAGCCCAUCGCUCAACGGUGGAACGGCCAUUGAUACUGUUAGACUUGAAUUAUUAGGAAGUAACUAGAAUAUGUAGUGUAGCGGUGAAAUGCUUAGAGAUUACAUGGAAUACCAAUUGCGAAGGCAGGUUACUACUAAUGGAUUGACGCUGAUGGACGAAAGCGUGGGUAGCGAACAGGAUUAGAUACCCUGGUAGUCCACGCCGUAAACGAUGG
rnacentral:rRNA from 2 species